AUGGCCCCAAGAAAUGCGCGUAAUAAUUUCUACAUUUUGGGCUCCGGUAGCGGGAAUGGCAACGCUGGGACCAAAGGCAUGUCGGAAUGGAUAGGCUUGUCCUUGUGCCGAAAAUGUGUUGACUUGGACGGAGUGUGGACCAAGUGUCUGAUAUCUGUUGGAAUUACAUUGCUCCUGGUGCCGUCCAUAUUUGCCAUAGACGAUGAAGCAAGACUCGAGGCAUCAGGACAACCCCUCAGUCCUUCCCAGGAUCCAACCGGCGGCCCAAACAUCACAGUCUCUUCGUCACUGCUGGAGGACGAAGACUUCGCCUCGCAGUACCACUCUCCAUCAGCGAGGGCAGAAAGCACAAGGGAGCAGCCUGUGUUUGCCUCGGUGCAGACCCUGCAGGUUGCAGAGACACAGCCUCAGGCGCUGGUGUAUUCUCUGCCCUCCCCACCCGGCAACAGUGACAAUCGCACCAAUCAAAAGUCCCCUGGGGAGCAGGCCGUCAAAGUGCCAAAUCCACCGUCCCCGGCACAUAAACUCAACAGUGUCUUGACCACUAGCUCAGACGAGACUCUUAGUGAAUUCCCCAGAAACCCUGAUCUUCCCACCGCCCCGGGAUCCUCUUUCAUGAUUGUGGCAGAGACAGAUGCUACACUCUCUGACAAUGUGACAACUUCAGUCUCCUUUUCCGCUUUUAACGGCACUUCUCCUGAAAGAGCUGAAAACGCUUCAUCCGGCGCUUCAGCAAGCAGCAACUCCCACACUGUGACCAGCGACAAUCUCCAGCUCACCACAGUGACCACCACGACUGUCACGCCCUUAACUGUGACAUCAAUGACUGUGACUCCACCCACUGCCAUUGUUGUGGCAAAAGAGGUCGCGACCACCAUACCAACCACCACAGCCACCCAGACCACAACAACCGAGACAGAACCACCAACGACAACCACCACUACCACUACAACAACUACCACCACCACAAAAGUAGCACCAACAACCACAAAAACACCCACAACCACUUUAGCAACGACAACCCCUCUUCAAACCACUGUUGUAUCUACCUCUGGAAGUACCACGACUGAACAGAGCACCCCUCCUACUGACAGUUCACCUUUGACCUGUAACGUGACCGAAAGAUUAUGGGUGAAAACAGUGUUGUCCAUCCAGAUGCGACGAAAUCGCCUAGAAGCUGGAAUGAGACAGAACCUGUAUAAAGGUUUCACGCAGACACUGCAGAGGGCGUUCAAUGACAGCAACGUCCGUGUUCAGGUUGGUGGUUUUGCAUGUGUUUUGAGCCGCAAGCCACUACACAGUAUAAAUAAGAAAGAAAACACCUACUAUAGAAGUUCAAAGGUUUGGGGUUUGUAAGAUUUUUUGUAAGAUUUUUUUAUGUUUUUGAAAGAAGACUCUUAUGCUUGCCAAGGCUGCAUUUUUUUAAAUCAGAAAUACAGUAAAAACAGUGUGAAAUGUUAUUAUAAUUUAAAAUAACUAUUUUCUAUUUUAAUAUAUUUAAGAUGUCAUUUAUUUCUGAUGCAAAGCUGAAUUUUCAGCAGCCAUUACUCCAGUGUCACAUGAUCCUUCACAAAUCAUUAAAAUAAUCAAGAAACGUAUCUUAUUAUUAUCAAUGUUAAAAACAGUUGUGCUGCUUAAUAUUAUAAAUAGAUUUUGAUUAUUUUUUUAAAGGAUUCUUUGAUGAAUAGAAAGUUCAAAAGAACAACAUUUAUUUGAAAUAGAUAUCUUUUGUAACAUUAUAAAUCAGCUUUUUUUUAAAAGGGCAAAUGAGGUAGGUUAUCCAAGAUUUAAUGCAUAAUUUAAAAAUAAUUAACUCUUCCACUAUCUCUUCCACUGCAAGUUCAACAUGAAAUGAGAAAUGCUAAAUAAAUAAUGAAAAGAACUAAUCGGAAUAGUUGGU
ensembl:lncRNA